rnacentral:lncRNA from 1 species
CUGUGCCUCCUGAUUGCUGAGUAUUCACCUGGACCUUCUGACUACCUUCCUUGUGCUAUUCCAUCAGCCUACAGAUCUCAUACCUGGAUUUUUGCCCAUGGUGAUUCCUACCACCUUACUACUGAAGAAGAUACCAUUCCAGUGGACCACUGUGACCCAAGAGACAUUCAGCCAUUAUGAUGUGGCCUUUACCUCCACUCCUGUCCUGUUCUGCCCAGCACAGCCCUUUG